AUUGAACGCUGGCGGAAUGCUUUACACAUGCAAGUCGAACGGCAGCACGGGGGCAGCCCUGGUGGCGAGUGGCGAACGGGUGAGUAAUACAUCGGAACGUGCCCGGUCGUGGGGGAUAACGUAGCGAAAGUUACGCUAAUACCGCAUACGAUCUGAGGAUGAAAGCGGGGGACCUUCGGGCCUCGCGCGAUCGGAGCGGCCGAUGUCAGAUUAGGUAGUUGGUGGGGUAAAGGCCUACCAAGCCGACGAUCUGUAGCUGGUCUGAGAGGAGGACCAGCCACACUGGGAUGGAGACCCGGCCCAGACUCUUAGGGAAGGCACAGGUGGGAAUUUUGGACAAUGGGCGCAAGCCUGAUCCAGCCAUUCCGCGUGCAGGACGAAGGCCUUCGGGUUGUAAACUGCUUUUGUACGGAACGAAAAGGCUCUGGCUAAUACCUGGGGCUCAUGACGGUACCGUAAGAAUAAGCACCGGCUAACUACGUG
rnacentral:rRNA from 1 species